UCUUAUGAGAGAAAAUGGGUAUAAGUGUUAUCUAAACACUUCUAAUCCAUCUUUAACUCUUU
rnacentral:sRNA from 1 species